UUAUCUGAACCUUCGGGGAACGAUAACGGCGUCGAGCGGCGGACGGGUGAGUAAUGCCUGGGAAUAUGCCUUGAUGUGGGGGAUAACCAUUGGAAACGAUGGCUAAUACCGCAUAAUCUCUUCGGAGCAAAGAGGGGGACCUUCGGGCCUCUCGCGUCAAGAUUAGCCCAGGUGGGAUUAGCUAGUUGGUGAGGUAAUGGCUCACCAAGGCGACGAUCCCUAGCUGGUCUGAGAGGAUGAUCAGCCACACUGGAACUGAGACACGGUCCAGACUCCUACGGGAGGCAGCAGUGGGGAAUAUUGCACAAUGGGCGCAAGCCUGAUGCAGCCAUGCCGCGUGUGUGAAGAAGGCCUUCGGGUUGUAAAGCACUUUCAGUCGUGAGGAAGGUAGUGUAGUUAAUAGCUGCAUUAUUUGACGUUAGCGACAGAAGAAGCACCGGCUAACUCCGUGCCAGCAGCCGCGGUAAUACGGAGGGUGCGAGCGUUAAUCGGAAUUACUGGGCGUAAAGCGCAUGCAGGUGGUUUGUUAAGUCAGAUGUGAAAGCCCGGGGCUCAACCUCGGAACCGCAUUUGAAACUGGCAGGCUAGAGUACUGUAGAGGGGGGUAGAAUUUCAGGUGUAGCGGUGAAAUGCGUAGAGAUCUGAAGGAAUACCGGUGGCGAANGCGGCCCCCUGGACAGAUACUGACACUCAGAUGCGAAAGCGUGGGGAGCAAACAGGAUUAGAUACCCUGGUAGUCCACGCCGUAAACGAUGUCUACUUGGAGGUUGUGGCCUUGAGCCGUGGCUUUCGGA
rnacentral:rRNA from 1 species